rfam:Streptomyces swartbergensis strain HMC13 scaffold623.1, whole genome shotgun sequence.
GGCUGUUCCCGGCCGUGGUGGACUGCCGGGGCCAGUAACGGCGGCAGGAGAGGAAGCCGGUGGAAGUCCGGCGCGGUCCCGCCACUGUCACCGGGGUAGCGAUCCCCGGGAGCCAGGAACUCUCACCGCCGGUCUAGUCGAA